rnacentral:rRNA from 1 species
UACGAAGGGGGCUAGCGUUGCUCGGAAUUACUGGGCGUAAAGGGCGCGUAGGCGGACAGUUAAGUCAGAGGUGAAAGCCCCAGGGCUCAACCCUGGAAUAGCCCUUGAUACUGGCUGUCUUGAGUGCGGGAGAGGUGUGUGGAACUCCGAGUGUAGAGGUGAAAUUCGUAGAUAUUCGGAAGAACACCAGUGGCGAAGGCGGCUCACUGGCCCGAUACUGACGCUGAGGCACGAAAGCGUGGGGAGUAAACAGG